rnacentral:rRNA from 1 species
UGGGGAAUAUUGGACAAUGGGGGCAACCCUGAUCCAGCCAUGCCGCAUGUGUGAAGAAGGCCUUUUGGUUGUAAAGCACUUUAAGCAGUGAGGAAGACUCCAUGGUUAAUACCCAUGGACGAUGACAUUAGCUGCAGAAUAAGCACCGGCUAACUCUGUGCCAGCAGCCGCGGUAAUACAGAGGGUGCAAGCGUUAAUCGGAAUUACUGGGCGUAAAGCGAGCGUAGGUGGCUUGAUAAGUCAGAUGUGAAAGCCCCGGGCUUAACCUGGGAACGGCAUCUGAUACUGUUAGGCUAGAGUAGGUGAGAGGAAGGUAGAAUUCCAGGUGUAGCGGUGAAAUGCGUAGAGAUCUGGAGGAAUACCGAUGGCGAAGGCAGCCUUCUGGCAUCAUACUGACACUGAGGUUCGAAAGCGUGGGUAGCAAACA